UACAUGGGGUGCAAACGUUGCUCGGAAUCAUUGGGCGUAAAGCGCGCGUAGGCGGUUACUUAAGUCGAAUGUGAAAGCCCUCGGCUUAACCGAGGAAGUGCAUCCGAAACUGAGUAGCUAGAGUACGAAAGAGGGUCGCGGAAUUCCCGGUGUAGAGGUGAAAUUCGUAGAUAUCGGAAGGAACAUCAGUGGCGAAAGCGACUUCCUGGACCAAUACUGACGCUCAUGUGCGAAAGCGUGGGGAGCAAACAGG
rnacentral:rRNA from 1 species